rnacentral:rRNA from 1 species
AUUGAACGCUGGCGGCAGGCCUAACACAUGCAAGUCGAACGGUAACAGGAAGAAGCUUGCUUCUUUGCUGACGAGUGGCGGACGGGUGAGCAAUGUCUGGGAAACUGCCUGAUGGAGGGGGAUAACUACUGGAAACGGUAGCUAAUACCGCAUAACGUCGCAAGACCAAAGAGGGGGACCUUCGGGCCUCUUGCCAUCGGAUGUGCCCAGAUGGGAUUAGCUAGUAGGUGGGGUAACGGCUCACCUAGGCGACGAUCCCUAGCUGGUCUGAGGGGAUGACCAGCCACACUGGAACUGAGACACGGUCCAGACUCCUACGGGAGGCAGCAGUGGGGAAUAUUGCACAAUGGGCGCAAGCCUGAUGCAGCCAUGCCGCGUGUAUGAAGAAGGCCUUCGGGUUGUAAAGUACUUUCAGCGGGGAGGAAGGGAGUAAAGUUAAUACCUUUACUCAUUGACGUUACCCGCAGAAGAAGCACCGGCUAACUCCGUG